UGGUCAUGGACACGGGCGCGGUCAUGGACAUAGACAUGGACAUAGACACGAGUGCAACCACGGGCACGGACAUGGAGAAGGGCAAAAGUGCCGGCGCAGGCACAAGGGCGGUCACAAGCAUCUCAAGUGUCACAAGAAAGGAAAGGACUGUCACGGGUCCUCCAGCAGCUCCAGCAGCAGCAGCAGCAGCAGCAGCAGCAGCAGCAGCAGCAGCAGUGACUCCGACUAGAUGACACUGAAGUCACCGCCUGCAAACCGUUGCCAAGAAUAACAAAAUGAACUGAAAAGGUUCUUUGCAAACGCAAUCAUCUCUUGUCCGACACACGUUGUCAAAACUGACUGUUUUCAUUGUCUGCAUAUGGCUUUGUGCCACAAAAAAAUACUGUACGGCAAUAAAGUUCAAACGGGGAUGAUUCUCUCAA